UACGUAGGGGGCAAGCGUUGUCCGGAAUUAUUGGGCGUAAAGAGCGUGUAGGCGGUUCGAUAAGUUUGCUGUAAAAGUCGGGGGCUCAACCCCCGAAAGCCGGUGAAUACUGUCGGACUAGAGUACGGAAGAGGCGAGUGGAAUUCCUGGUGUAGCGGUGAAAUGCGCAGAUAUCAAGCGGAACACCGGUGGCGAAGGCGGCCUUCUGGACAGUGACUGACGCUGAGACGCGAAAGCGUGGGGAGCAAACAGG
rnacentral:rRNA from 1 species